rnacentral:rRNA from 1 species
UACGUAGGUGGCUAGCGUUGUCCGGAUUUACUGGGCGUAAAGAGCGCGCAGGCGGUCGUUCAAGUCGAGUGUGAAAGCCCUCGGCUCAACCGAGGAACUGCGCCCGAUACUGUGGUGCUUGAGGGAGACAGAGGUAAGCGGAACUGAUGGUGGAGCGGUGAAAUGCGUUGAUAUCAUCAGGAACACCAGUGGCGAAAGCGGCUUACUGGGUCUCUUCUGACGCUGAGAUACGAAAGCUAGGGGAGCGAACGGG